ACGCUGGCGGCGUGCCUAAUACAUGCAAGUAGAACGCUGAAGGAGGAGCUUGCUUCUCUGGAUGAGUUGCGAACGGGUGAGUAACGCGUAGGUAACCUGCCUGGUAGCGGGGGAUAACUAUUGGAAACGAUAGCUAAUACCGCAUAAGAGUAGAUGUUGCAUGACAUUUGCUUAAAAGGUGCAAUUGCAUCACUACCAGAUGGACCUGCGUUGUAUUAGCUAGUUGGUGGGGUAACGGCUCACCAAGGCGACAAUACAUAGCCGACCUGAGAGGGUGAUCGGCCACACUGGGACUGAGACGCGGCCCAGACUCCUACGGGAGGCAGCAGUAGGGAAUCUUCGGCAAUGGACGGAAGUCUGACCGAGCAACGCCGCGUGAGUGAAGAAGGUUUUCGGAUCGUAAAGCUCUGUUGUAAGAGAAGAACGAGUGUGAGAGUGGAAAGUUCACACUGUGACGGUAUCUUACCAGAAAGGGACGGCUAACUACGUGCCAGCAGCCGCGGUAAUACGUAGGUCCCGAGCGUUGUCCGGAUUUAUUGGGCGUAAAGCGAGCGCAGGCGGUUAGAUAAGUCUGAAGUUAAAGGCUGUGGCUUAACCAUAGUACGCUUUGGAAACUGUUUAACUUGAGUGCAAGAGGGGAGAGUGGAAUUCCAUGUGUAGCGGUGAAAUGCGUAGAUAUAUGGAGGAACACCGGUGGCGAAAGCGGCUCUCUGGCUUGUAACUGACGCUGAGGCUCGAAAGCGUGGGGAGCAAACAGGAUUAGAUACCCUGGUAGUCCACGCCGUAAACGAUGAGUGCUAGGUGUUAGACCCUUUCCGGGGUUUAGUGCCGUAGCUAACGCAUUAAGCACUCCGCCUGGGGAGUACGACCGCAAGGUUGAAACUCAAAGGAAUUGACGGGGGGCCCGC
rnacentral:rRNA from 1 species